rnacentral:rRNA from 1 species
CUUACAAGCUGUGGAAGCACAUUUCUUGUGUGACCGCGUACUUUUUGUAGAACGGGCCAACGAGUUACGUUAAGUAGCAAGGUUAAGCACUUAAGGUGCGGAGCCGUAGCGAAAGCGAGUUUUAACUGAGCGUUCAGUUACUUGACGUAGACCCGAAACCGGGCGACCUACCCAUGAGCAGGAUGAAGCGAAAGUAAAAUUUCGUGGAGGUCCGAACCCACGAGCGUUGAAAAGCUCGGGGAUGACUUGUGGGUAGCGGUGAAAUUCCAAUCGAGCCCGGAGAUAGCUGGUUCUCCCCGAAAUAGCUUUAGGGCUAGCCUCAAGGUGAGAGAUACGGAGGUAGAGCACUGAAUGUCCUAGGGGGUAUUGCACCUACCGAAGACUAUCAAACUCCGAAUGCCGUCAUCUUAUACUUGGGAGUCAGACUGUGGGUGAUAAGAUUCAUAGUCGAAAGGGCAACAGCCCAGAUCGUCAGCUAAGGUCCCUAAAUGUAAGUUAAGUGGUAAAGGAUGUGGGAUUGCACAGACAACCAGGAUGUUGGCUUAGAAGCAGCCACUCAUUCAAAGAGUGCGUAAUAGCUCACUGGUCGAGUGAUCCUGCGCCGAAGAUUUCCGGGGCUAAAACUUACUACCGAAGCUACGGCAUCAGUAAUGAUGGGUAGGGGAGCUUCCCAUACGGGUUGAAGCAUGACCGUAAGGACAUGUGGACAGUAUGGGAGUGAGAAUGUUGGCAUGAGUAGCGAGAUGUGGGUGAGAAUCCCACAGGCCGUAAACCCAAGGUUUCCAGGGGAAGGUUCGUCCGCCCUGGGUUAGUCGGGACCUAAGCUGAGGCCGAAAGGCGUAGGUGAUGGACAACAGGUUGAUAUUCCUGUACUACCGAUAACCGUUUGAGAGAAGGGAUGACACAGUAGGAUAAGCUAAGCACACUGUUGGUUAUGUGUGCCCAAGCAUUGAGGCAGUCAAAGUAGGCAAAUCCGCUUUGAUAAUGCUGGGAUGUGAUGGGGAGCGAAAUUUAGUAGCGAAGUAGCUGAUUUCACACUGUCAAGAAAAGUCUCUAUCGAGGUUAAAGGUACCCGUACCGCAAACCGACACAGGUGGGUGAGGAGAGUAUCCUAAGGCCAGCGAGAGAACUGUUGUUAAGGAACUCGGCAAAAUGACCCCGUAACUUAGGGAUAAGGGGUGCCACCAUCAGGUGGCCGCAGAGAAUAGGCCCAAGCGACUGUUUACCAAAAACAUAGGUUUCUGCUAAGUCGCAAGACGAUGUAUAGGAGCUGACGCCUGCCCGGUGCUGGAAGGUUAAGGGGAUCUGUUAGAGCAAUCGAAGCAGUGAACUUAAGCCCCAGUAAACGGCGGCCGUAACUAUAACGGUCCUAAGGUAGCGAAAUUCCUUGUCGGGUAAGUUCCGACCCGCACGAAAGGCGUAACGAUUUGGGCACUGUCUCAACAACAGACUCGGUGAAAUUGUAAUUCCGGUGAAGAUGCCGGAUACCUGCGACAGGACGGAAAGACCCCAUGGAGCUUUACUGUAGCUUGACAUUGGGUCUUGGUACUACAUGUACCUGUCUCUUAUACACAUCUCCGAGCCCACGAGACUCCUGAGCAUCUCGUA